rnacentral:rRNA from 1 species
CAGCACCUCAAGUGGUCAGGAUGAUUAUUGGGCCUAAAACAUCCGUAGCCGGCGCUGUAAGUUUUCGGUUAAAUCUGUACGCUCAACGUACAGGCUGCCGGGAAUACUGCAGCGCUAGGGAGUGGGAGAGGUAGACGGUACUCGGUAGGAAGGGGUAAAAUCCUUUGAUCUAUUGAUGACCACCUGUGGCGAAGGCGGUCUACCAGAACACGUCCGACGGUGAGGGAUGAAAGCUGGGGGAGCAAACCGGAUUAGAUACCCGAGUAGUCC